GCUAGCGGUUAUAACACGUUGAAUACACCAUUUCCCAUGGAUCACUGUAGUUAAGCAACGUUGCGUGUGGUUAGCAUCCGAAUAGGUAGCUUGUC
rnacentral:rRNA from 1 species